GAUGAACGCUGGCGGCGUGCCUAACACAUGCAAGUCGAACGGACGGACGAGAAGCUUUUUGGUGUGAGGGUAGCGGCGGCCGGGGGGGUAAUAAGUGGAUAGCAACCUUCUACCUCUUGGUGGAUAUCGGCAAGAAGGAGCGACUACUGCAGGAUAUUUUGGACCGGUUGCAUCAUGAGUGAGGGACAGUUUUGGUGUCACUGAGAGAUGGAUUCGCGCUGUAUUAGCUAGUUGGUGAGGUAACGGCUUACCAAGGCAACGAUGCGUAGCCGCCCUGAGAGGGUGAUCGGCCACACUGGAGCUGAGACACGGCCCAGACUCCUACGGGAGGCAGCAGUAGGGAAUAUUCCGCAAUGGGCGGAAGCCUGAUGAAGCAACGCCGCGUGAGUGAUGAAGGUCUUCGGAUCGUAAAGCUCUGUUAUUGGGGAAGAACAUAUGUGUAAGUAACUGUGGACGUCUUGACGGUACCUAAACAAGAAGCCACGGCUAACUACGUG
rnacentral:rRNA from 1 species